rnacentral:tRNA from 1 species
GGGCGCUUAGCUCAGCGGCAAGAGCAUCGCCAUUACACGGCGGUGGUCACAGGUUCGAAUCCUGUAGCGCUCA